GUUGGCUAUACUCAGUGCUGAAGAACAUUGUUUAUUCUGUCUUUGACGGACUAUCCUUCAAUACUACUUCCCUCAGUCAGCGUAAAAAGGUAGUAAUGCCUUCUCCACACACAGCAGAUCCCUUGGCAUCAUGAGCGGCCUCGACGAAUGCUCAUCAACGGAUAACUCGUAGAGCAUAGAGAGACCGAUGAACGGGGGGGCACGGUUUCCUGAUAAAUUGUAAGGUAUCAUAUCAGCCGGACCCAAUGUUUCGAAUGUGGCGCUGGAACUCUCGAGAGCUUCGUGCCAUGAGCCAUGCCCCUUCCCUGUGUGCCCGAGGGAACGGAGUUUUCCCAGAUGGCUGUAGCGGCGUGGUUUGUUCAUGAAACCGCACGUUGGUUGUUUCUUGUCUGUGCCAUCUGCUUGCAAUGCUGUGCUGGCCGCUGAACUUCACACACUCUUCGCGGUCAGCCUACUCCGUCAGAGAGCUUGUUUUUCUUGUCGUCCUCGGCUGCUCAAACGGUUCUGUUGAGUGUUCUGCCAAGUCCCAGUCCUUUGUGGUUAGGGCGCUUAUGUGCGCGUGUUUCCUAUGGAGAGCGAUCCUGCCGAAGGUCAACCUGCCCAACCAUUGAAGAAUUGUAACGACACAGUUGUGAAGUUUUGGCUUCGAAAGCGAGUACUGCUUAUUGGUAAAACACUGGGAGGAUGAUAUGGGGUCCGGGUGGUUAGCGUCAGG
rnacentral:lncRNA from 1 species